rnacentral:rRNA from 1 species
AGCAGCCGCGGUAAUUCCAGCUCCAAUAGCGUAUAUUAAAGUUGUUGCAGUUAAAAAGCUCGUAGUUGAAUUUCGGGACCAUCAUGUUGGUCGUGCCUCGGUACGUACUGGCAUUGUUGGUUUCUCCCUUCUGACGAACCAUGAUGUCAUUUAUUUGGUGUCGUGGGAAAUCAGGACUGUUACUUUGAAAAAAUUAGAGUGUUUAAAGCAGGCUCACGCUUGAAUACAUUAGCAUGGAAUAAUGAAAUAGGACGUUUGAUUCUAUUUUGUUGGUUUCUAGGAUCGACGUAAUGAUUAAUAGGGAUAGUUGGGGGCAUUAGUAUUCAAUUGUCAGAGGUGAAAUUCUUGGAUUUAUUGAAGACUAACUACUGCGAAGGCAUUUGCCAAGGAUGUUUUCAUUAAUCAAGAACGAAAGUUAGGGGAUCGAAGACGAUCAGAUACCGUCGUAGUCUUAACCAUAAACUAUGCCGACUAGGGAUCGGAUGAUGUUAAUUUUUUAAUGACUCAUUCGGCGCCUUAC